AGAACGAACGCUGGCGGCAGGCUUAACACAUGCAAGUCGAGCGCCCCGCAAGGGGAGCGGCAGACGGGUGAGUAACGCGUGGGAAUCUACCCAGAUCUUCGGAACAACCCAGGGAAACUUGGGCUAAUACCGGAUACGCCCUACGGGGGAAAGAUUUAUCGGUUCUGGAUGAGCCCGCGUUGGAUUAGCUAGUUGGUGGGGUAAUGGCCUACCAAGGCUACGAUCCAUAGCUGGUCUGAGAGGAUGAUCAGCCACACUGGGACUGAGACACGGCCCAGACUCCUACGGGAGGCAGCAGUGGGGAAUAGUUGGACAAUGGGCGAAAGCCUGACUCCAACCAUGCCGCGUGAGUGAUGAAGGCCUUAGGGUGUAAAGCUCUUCAGUGGGAAGAUAAUGACGGUACCACAGAAGAAGCCCGCUAACUCGUGCCAGCAGCCGC
rnacentral:rRNA from 1 species